rnacentral:rRNA from 1 species
UACGUAGGUGGCAAGCGUUGUUCGGAAUUAUUGGGCGUAAAGGGCGCGUAGGCGGUUUGUUAAGUCGGCUGUGAAAGCCCGGGGCUCAACCCCGGAGGGUCAGCCGAUACUGGCAGACUAGAGUACGGAAGAGGUAGCUGGAAUUCCCGGUGUAGCGGUGAAAUGCGUAGAUAUCGAGAGGAACACCUGCGGCGAAGGCGGGUUGCUGGGCCGACACUGACGCUGAUGCGCGAAAGCCAGGGGAGCGAACGGG